GAUAAUUGGAAGGGAAAAGGAAAAAUAAUUCUGAACUGUUGGUGGAGGACUUUAGCUAUUUCUACUUCGGAACAGUAUACCAGGAGAAAGUAGAAACAUUUAGGGUUCCUUGCAUCUGAUUACAAGUAUAAGAUAAUAUUUUCACCCCCCUGCCUCUAUUUAUUUCUUAUACAAGUCAUGAGUCGGAGCAUCAAUUACCACCACAAAAG
rnacentral:misc_RNA from 1 species